AUGCAAACGUAUGAACUUAGCAUGAUAGACAGGACUGCAUAUACGUGAUAAACAUUUAAUGAGGAGUAGAUAAGCAUUGUAGAGAUAAUUGAUUAACAAUACUAAAUGGGUAGACAAUAAGGCACUGUUUAAUGUUUCUCUUAAAUUAGCACAUGGCACAUCAACAAAAAUAAAAUAAUAAUAAAUAAAUAAAUAAAUAAAGUUUUAAAAAAAAGGUGCAACACUGCACAAACAUUUUUUAAACUUAAGUUAAUAGCACGAUCCAUUACGCACUUCCACAACCAUAUAGGCGAC
rnacentral:lncRNA from 1 species